rnacentral:lncRNA from 1 species
ACCACGCCUCUUAGUUUGCUCUAUUCCUUCAAGUUCUAGAUUUGUGUUACCAACUUAUGCAGUACAAUAUAUAGGACAUUUUAUUCAAAGUUGAGGAUGGACAACAAAGAAAAUCAUUCUUGCAUCCAUCUGCUGGAAACUUUAUUCAAGGUUAUGGUUAGAAAUACGUUGUUGUUGCAAUUAAAGUGACAUGAUAAGUUCUACAAGCUUAUUAAAGAAAUUGUAGGAAGAACCACAAUUCCUCAAAGAAACUUCUAUUUUCUCCUUCAAGUCCUUGGCUCUAACCCUCAUCACCUCCCCAUCAGCAUCUACCAUCAGUUUCCUGACAGCUCUCUCAAUCUCUCCUCUCUCUAACUCAUUGUCCAAAUGUAGCCCUACUUUCCAUACUAGGCUAACAUACCUGGAAUGCACCUUCUGAUCGCCAAAAGACGGCAUGCAUAUCAUUGGAAACGAGAUUCAGAUUACAACCUCACCAAAUCACACUCAGUUGAACAUAAUAAAAUACAAGAAAUAAAGACAUCGAGAAAUUUAUGAGGUUCGGCAAAAACAUGCCUACGUCCCCCGAGAGAUAUUGCUCUUCACUAUGAAUAACAGUACAAGUACACAUGAGUUAAAUCAACAUAACUCAAUCCCGAAUCCCUUGCACACCCACUCAUAGAAUUUUCCCAAGAGCCUCACUCUACCCCAAGAGUUCUUUCACUAGAAUACUUUUCACUCUAGCUCUCUUGAUUUUCUCUUAACCCAUGUUCAACCUUUCCCAUGGGAGAGCCGUAUGCUCUCCCAUUGGAUGCUUCUAUGAUGCUUACCUUCCCACUUUCUAAACAUUACUAAAUGCACAAAUAUUGCAUCUAGUUAUAGGCAUACACUAGCAACUAUGCCAACAACCAAGACCAAAAAGUCUUAAGUUCACAUGACAUAAUCAUCACCUAGCCUACCUAGCAUGCACCAAAGUCUAUACCUAGUCUAUAAAGUAUAACUUUGCUUGUGGUAGUCACCAUGUCUUCAAUUGUUGUCAACACAUGACUCAUAAUUACUCACAAAUGUAUGAGCUAAACACAACAAUCUCCACCUUGGCGAAUACACCAUGCAAAAAUCCUUGCACCCAUCACCAAAGCCUAUUGGCCUUACGUACCAGCAUACACACCCUGAAUCAACCUUGUUGGUCCUGUUCUGAUUUAGUCACUGCUAAUGCAUGUGCAGCUGCUGCAAGCUAAAAUUCACUAUUUAGCUUCAGACAGGAUCUCGAUACACCUUCGUCUCCUCCAACAGGUUUUCCUCUUCUUCAUUGUCUGCAACCUGGAAACUCGUCAGCGCGCCCGUUUCCAGCAACAACCCAACAAGCCAGACAAAAUUCCCACAUUUCCUCAUUCCUCAGGACCAUCUCAUCACCUGUGAAUCCCAUAGCUCCACCUGCUGCAAAACCCCUGCAACACUUGAGACUAAACAUCACUAGGAGAAGUGUUGCUUCGAGUACCUAGAGGGCAUACUCGAAGCCUUAUGCCAUAAACUUGCUACAACCCGGCCUUGCACCGUAGCACUGUGGACCCUUGCCUCUAAAACCGGAUCUGAACCUGCUGUCUCUCUCAUAUCCUCUUUCCAAUUUGCUUCCACGAUUCCAACCUUGAACAGCUAAAGCAGUCUUGUGCCCACCAUCAUCCAUGGUCAUCUUCUUUUGUGUAUCAUUCCACACCAAAGAAGCUUGCACCUGCUCCAAACUUACUGUAUCUUUCCAUGCAGUAAAAUUUCACAAGGUUCUCGUACAAAUAUGAAAGUGAGGUAAGAAGAAAGAGGCCUUUGUCUUCUUCCUCAACAUCAACUUUCGCAAUUGAUCCAAGCAUCCCUGAACAUGUCUUUCAUUUCUUCAGGCUUCAUUACUCUCAUCUACUAAGAGUAAAGCAGCCACUCCCAUUAAACUGCUCAACUGAAAAUUCCAUGGUGAAUAAAUCUAGACCUCCAACGAACCAAAGCCUCCAACAAUGCUCUGAUACCAAUUGUUGUGCCUUGACCCGUUCGUUAGUGCAGAAACGAGAUUUAGAUUACAACCUCACCAAAUCACACUCAGUUGAACAUAAUAAAAUACAAGAAAUAAAGACAUUAAGAAAUUUAUGAGGUUCGGCAAAAACAUGCCUACGUCCCCGGAGAGAUAUUGCUCUUCACUAUGAAUAACAGUACAAGUACACAUGAGUUAAAUCAACAUAACUCAAUCCCGAAUCUCUUGCAUACCCACUCAUAGAAUUUUUCCAAGAGCCUCACUCUACCCCAAGAGUUCUUUCACUAGAAUACUUUUCACUCUAACUCUCUUGAUUUUCUCUCAACCCAUGUUUAACCUUUCCCAUGGGACAUCCGGAUGCUCUCCCCUUGGAUGCUUCUAUGAUGCUUACCUUCCCACUUUCUAAACAUUACUAAAUGCACAAUAUUGCAUCUAGUUAUAGGCAUACACUAGCAACUAUGCCAACAACCAAGACCAAAAAGUCUUAAGUUCACAUGACAUAAUCAUCACCUAGCCUACCUAGCAUGCACCAAAGUCUAUACCUAGUCUAUAAAGUAUAACUUUGCUUGUGGUAGUCACCAUGUCUUCAAUUGUUGUCAACACAUGACUCAUAAUUACUCACAAAUGUAUGAGCCAAACAAAACACUUAUGCAUUACAAUAUAUAGGACAUUUUAUUCAAAGUUGAAGAUGGACAACAAAGAAAAUCUUUCUUGCAUCCAUCUGCUGGAAACUUUAUUCAAGGUUAUGGUUAGAAAUACGUUGUUGUUGCAAUUAAAGUGACAUGAUAAGUUCUACAAGCUUAUUCAAGAAACUGUAGGAAGAACCACCAUUCCUCAAAGAAACUUCUAUUUUCUCCUUCAAAUCCUUGGCUCUAAC